CCCUUAGAUGUUCUGGGCUGCACGCGCGCUACACUGAAGCGUUCAACGAGUAUUUCACCUUGCCCGGGAGGGUUGGGUAAUCUUUUUAAAACGCUUCGUGAUGGGGAUAGAUUAUUGCAAUUAUUAAUCUUCAACGAGGAAUUCCUAGUAAGCGCGAGUCAUCAGCUCGCGUUGAUUACGUCCCUGCCCUUUGUACACACCGCCCGUCGCUACUACCGAUUGGAUGGUUUAGUGAGAUCCUCGGAUUGGUCCCGGAGCGGCCUCUGGUCGUGCCGGAGUGCCGAAAAGAAUGUCGAACUUGAUCAUCUAGAGGAAGUAAAAGUCGUAACA
rnacentral:rRNA from 1 species